CGACCCCUGGCCCAGACCUCCACAGGCCGCGGAUGCGGCCCUAAAAACCAAAAAACAACAAAAAAACUAAGACUGGAAACAGCCUGUAUCGCUCUGCUGUCGUUUUUGGUGGUAAAUUACCCUUUUCUAACACCUGAGUUACUUAUGUCCGAAACGUUCUUUCUCGUUGGCUGCGUUCCCACCAGACUACUCGUCAGCCAUUGUCUCUCUCACCUGAGCUGUUAUUUAUGACGGGAAUGUCCUCUUGUCACCUAAGUGUUCACGAGACAGGAGGCCUUCUCUCCCCUCCAUCUAACGCGUCAGCUAAAAGCGCCUGUUCUGUCGGACGCUGAGUCCCCUGAGCUGCUCUGUGACUGGGAAGCGGCUUUGUCACCUUCUGUCGCCUGCUUUGCAUUGUCCGUCCCCCGAGACGGCAGUUCUGACCUGAGACCUCCCUCCUCGUGCAGGACGUAUUGCUUAGCAGGACGCUUUCCCUGUCACCUUAGGUGCCACUUCUGACUGGACAUUCCUUCAUCAUCCGUGCUGGAAUCCCUCUCUGGCAACGGAAUCAUCGUCCGUGACGGACACGCUUUUCUCCAGCGCUCGAUGGUCAUUUGCGACGGACGGCGUCUUUCUCCAACCGUGGCCUCCGCCUGCAAACCGCACACACCAGUGACCGCCGCCGCCGCAGCCGGAUUCGUAACCCUGCGCCGCGGCGGGAACCGCAGGAAACCUCCACCUACCGGUUGAGUUACCAUUAAACCGGGGCCUCCUUCCUCUGCACCGGAGAGUUGGCGUCUCACGGGAGACCUUUGCUCUCUACCAACGCGUGUCACGCGUGAUUGUCCAUCCGCAGCAGCUGAGCGGCCGCUCGUUGGGGGAGUCUUGCUUCUCGCUCACGCGAGCUGCCGUCUCGGACUGGACCCUCUCUGCCUCUUGAUGUGUGGCCUGCGACGGCAAAGCGUCUUCCCUUCGCGGCGGCGGCGGUCGGAGCUGCAGGCCGGCUUCUCCUCCGUCAUCCCUCGGGCUGGCGUUUAUGCCCGGAAACCCUUUCCUCCUCCGCCCGGUGGUCGUCAGCGGUGGGAACCCCGUUCUUCUCUCCCAUUCGCGUCAUUGGAGGCUCUUCUUCACGGGGACUUGCCGUCCUAACAGGACGUCCCCCUUCUCCACGCACUGACCGACGCCUGGAAACCCCUGCUCCGUGCCUGGGCAGCGUUUACGUCUGGAAACCGUCUGUCUCGCCACUAAGUGUUCGCCGAUGCCUGGAACCUUCCCCUUCAGCUGAGGCGUCACUCACGGCUGGGACGUCUUUCCGCUUCACUGUAGUGACCGUUCACGACCGGAAACCUGUCGCUACCACCUGAGAAGCCGCUCGUGAGGGGGAGGCCGAGACUGGGGCCGUCGUUGGGAGCGAACGCCCUUCUCGUCUCGCGCCGGUGCUGCCCCACGCAGGGAGCCCCCCUCUGCCACCUGUUCCCACUCGUGCCCGGAGCCCUGCCUUUGUCCCCUUCCCGCUCCCCUGUGCCGGCGUCGCCGUGACCGCAGGCCUUCCUGCCACGGAGCUGCUGCCUGUCGCUGACGAGCCUUCCGCCCGUCCGGCCGGCCACCGCCUGUGCCUGGACGGCUCUCUCGGUCGCCCGAGUUACCCUUUGGGAUCAGCGCACGCUUCCUCUCUCUGCUGCGCUGCCGGUUGCCCGGAAACCUGUUUCUCCGCCACGCGAAUGGCUUUAAUGGCAAGAAAACCUUCUCCGUCCCCUGGGGAUCUGCGACUAGACCCCCUUUCCGGACACCUGAGCUGCGCUUUGCGGCCGGAAGCCUUCCCUGCUUCAGAUUUUUCCGCCGGGCUGGACCCUCCCCCACGUCGGAACGACCAUCUCUGACGGUCGCGUCCUCUAGCGUUGCCGUUCGGGACUUCAAGCCUCACGUCCCCGUCUACUGGGCAGUGGGGUUUGUUUUCUUUUUUUCGAGUGGACACUUUUACUCUGUUAAACGUUAUCAUUUAUGACGGGAAACCUGUUUUCCGAUCACCUAAAGUACCGUUUAUCCCUGGGAACCCUCGUUCUCCCCACUUGUCUUAGCAUUUUGGACCCAAACCAUGUGCCCCUGGCCUUGAGUCCCCCUGUGAUUUAGUUCCCCUGUGACACUGUGCCCCUGUGAUUUAGUUCCCCUGUGAUUUAGUUCCCCUGUGACCAUGUACCCCUGGCCUUGAGUCCCCCUGAGAUUUCGUUCCCCUGUGACCCUGUGCCCCUGUGAUUUAGUUCCCCUGUGACCCUGUGCCCCUGUGAUUUAGUGCCCCUGUGAUUUAGUUCCCCUGUGACCAUGUACCCCUGGCCUUGAGUCCCCCUGAGAUUUCGUUCCCCUGUGACCCUGUGUCCCUGUGAUUUAGUUCCCCUGUGACACUGUGCCCCUGUGAUUUAGUUCCCCUGUGACCAUGUGCCCCUGGCCUUGAGUCCCCCUGAGAUUUCGUUCCCCUGUGACCCUGUGCCCCUGUGAUUUAGUUCCCCUGUGACCCUGUGCCCCUGUGAUUUAGUGCCCCUGUGACCAUGUACCCCUGGCCUUGAGUCCCCCUGAGAUUUCGUUCCCCUCUGACCCUGUGUCCCUGUGAUUUAGUUCCCCUGUGACGCUGUGCCCCCUGUGAUUUAGUUCCCCUGUGACCCUGUGACCAUGUGACCAUGUGCCCCUGUCCUUGAGUCCCCCUGAGAUUUAGUUCCCCUGUGACCCUGUGCCCCUGUGCUUUAGUUCCCCUCUGACCAUGUGAUUUAGUUCCCCCGUGACCCUGUGCCCCUGUGACCAUGUGCCCCUGUGAUUUAGUUCCCCCAUGACCCUGUGCCCCUGGCCUUGAGUCCCCCUGUGAUUUAGUUCCCCUGUGCCCAUGUGCCCCUGUGAUUUAGUUCCCCUGUGCCCCUGUGAUUUAGUUCCCCUGUGACCAUGUACCCCUGGCUUUGAGUCCCCCUGAGAUUUAGUUCCCCUGUGCCCCUGUGAUUUAGUUCCCCUGUGACCCUGUGACCCUGUGAUUUAGUGCCCCUGUGACCAUGUACCCCUGGCUUUGAGUCCCCCUGAGAUUUAGUUCCCCUGUGACCAUGUGCUUUAGUUCCCCUCUGACCCUGUGCUUUAGUUCCCCUCUGACCCUGUGAUUUAGUUCCCCUGUGCCCAUGUGCCCCUGUGAUUUAGUUCCCCUCUGACCAUGUGCCCCUGGACUUGACUUUCCCUGAGAUUUAGUUCCACUGUGAUUAUGUUCCUCUGGACUUGAGUUGCCUUGUGAUUUUGUUCCCCUGUGACUAUGUGCCCCUGAGAUUCUGUUUUCCUGUAAUUGUGUUCCUGAUACUAUUCCCCUGUUACUUUGUUCCCUUGUGCUUCUGUUCCUCUGUGAUUGUUUUCCUAUGAUUCAUUAUGACCCUCUUUCGUUUCCCUUGGUGACUAUAUUCUCCAGGGACUGUGUUCCCAUGGGAUUUUGUUUCCUUGUGAGUCUGUUUCCCUUUGAUUCUGUUCCCCUGUCAUUCUGUUUUUCUGUGACUAUGUCCCUCUGUGAGUAUGUUCCCCUGGAAUUCCAUUCCCCAGGGUCCUUAUUUCCCAGAGAUUCUCUUUUUCCAUAAUUCCCCCUGUGGCUGUGUUCCCCAGGAUUGUGUCCUCUGAUUUUGGUCCCCUGUGAUUCUUUUCCCUUGUGAUUCUGCUCCCUUGUGACUAUGUUCCCCUCUGAUUCUGUUCCCCUGUGACUCCUCCCCUGUGAUGGUGUUUCCCUGGGACUUUAUUCUCAUGAGAUUCUGUUCUUCUGUAAUUGUGUUCCCCUAUCACUUUGUUCCCCUAUCAUUGUAUUCCCCUUUGAUUUAGUUCCCCUGUGCCUAUGCUCCACAGGGACUGUGUUCCUGUGGGACUGCGUUCCCCUGUGAUUCACUUCCCCUUUCGGUUCCCUUAUAACUAUGUUCCCCUGUUAUUGGGUUUCCCCUAUAACUAUGUUCCCCUGUGAUUCAGUUCCCCUGUGAUUUGGUUCCUCUAUAACUAUGUUCCCCCAUGAUUUGGUUCUCCUACAACUAUGUUCCCCUGUGAUUCAGUUCCCCUAGAACUAUGUUCCCCUGUGAUUCGCUUCCCCUAUAACUAUGUUCCCCUCUGGUUCAGUUCCCCUGUGAUUUGGUUCCUCUAUAAUUACGUUCCCCUGUGGUUCGGUUCCCCUGCAUGUUCCCCUGUGAUUCACUUCCCCUUUCGGUUCCCUUAUAACUAUGUUCCCCUGUUAUUGGGUUUCCCCUAUAACCAUGUUCCCCUGUGAUUCAGUUCCCCUGUGAUUUGGUUCCUCUAUAACUAUGUUCCCCCAUGAUUUGGUUCUCCUACAACUACAUUCCCCUGUGAUUCAGUUCCCCUGUAUGUUCCCCUGUGAUUCACUUCCCCUAUAGCUAUGUUCUCCUUUGAUUUAGUUCCCCUGUGAUUUGGUUCCUCUAUAACUAUGUUCCCCUGUGAUUUGGUUCCCCUAUAACUAUGUUCCCCUGUGAUUCGGUUCCCCUGUAUGUUCCCCUGCGAUUCAGUUCCCCUAUAGCUAUGUUCUCCUUUGAUUCAGUUCCCCUGUGAUUUGGUUCCUCUAUAAUUACGUUCCCCUGUGAUUCGGUUCCCCUGUAUGUUCCCCUGUGAUUCACUUCCCCUAUAGCUAUGUUCUCCUUUGAUUCAGUUCCCCUGUGAUUUGGUUCCUCUAUAAUUACGUUCCCCUGUGAUUCGGUUCCCCUGUAUGUUCCCCUGUGAUUCACUUCCCCUAUAGCUAUGUUCUCCUUUGAUUCAGUUCCCCUGUGAUUUGGUUCCUCUAUAACUAUGUUCCCCUGUAUGUUCCCCUGUGAUUCACUUCCCCUAUAACUACAUUCCCCUGUGAUUCACUUCCCCUAUAGCUAUGUUCUCCUUUGAUUCAGUUCCCCUGUGAUUUGGUUCCUCUAUAACUAUGUUCCCCUGUGGUUCGGUUCCCCUGCAUGUUCCCCUGUGAUUCACUUCCCCUAUAGCUAUGUUCUCCUUUGAUUCAGUUCCCCUGUGAUUUGGUUCCUCUAUAAUUACGUUCCCCUGUGGUUCGGUUCCCCUGUAUGUUCCCUUGUGAUUCACUUCCCCUAUAGCUAUGUUCUCCUUUGAUUCAGUUCCCCUGUGAUUCGGUUCCUCUAUAACUAUGUUCCCCUGUGAUUCGGUUCCCCUGUAUGUUCCCCUGUGAUUCACUUCCCCUAUAGCUAUGUUCUCCUUUGAUUCAGUUCCCCCGUGAUUUGGUUCCUCUAUAACUAUGUUCCCCUGUGAUUUGGUUCCUCUAUAACUAUGUUCCCCUGUGGUUCGGUUCCCCUGUAUGUUCCCCUGUGAUUCACUUCCCCUAUAACUACAUUCCCCUGUGAUUCACUUCCCCUAUAGCUAUGUUCUCCUUUGAUUCAGUUCCCCUGUGAUUUGGUUCCUCUAUAACUAUGUUCCCCUGUGGUUCGGUUCCCCUGCAUAUUCCCCUGUGAUUCACUUCCCCUGUAACUACAUUCCCCUGUGAUUCACUUCCCCUAUAGCUAUGUUCUCCUUUGAUUCAGUUCCCCUGUGAUUUGGUUCCUCUAUAACUAUGUUCCCCUGUGGUUCGGUUCCCCUGUAUGUUCCCCUGUGAUUCACUUCCCCUAUAACUAUGUUCUCCUUUGAUUCAGUUCCCCUGUGAUUCGGUUCCCCUAUAACUAUGUUCCUCGGGACUUUGUUCCCCCAGACUUUUUUCUCGUGUGAUUUUAGUACGUUCACUGGGUUUCCACCUAAGCGCCCUUUACCCUGUGACUGGGGAAGCAGCUCAGUCUCUAAGGUGCAGACAUGGAGCUGCUGGAACAGCCGAUGGACGGUGCUGGGAUGCAGGCAGGCAGGUGUCUGUGCAGCAUGGCCAGACUCCCACCUCUGGGCUGCACCCCCGCUGGGGCUCUGAGCGUCCCCACCGUCCUUGUCAACUGCGACGGGCCUCCAGGGCUCCCUUCACGACACAGCACUUUGCCAUUUGGGCAGGUGCGGGCCUGCCCUGCUCUGCUCUGAGGAUGCUGAUUCUGCGCUUUUAGGUUCAUCUUCCAGCAGCCCCAGCUGAAAAGCACUGGCAUCCUUCAUGGUGAUGUCUGCUCCUGUGACUGGCAGUGACCUUCGCGAGACCAGCAGCGACCUCCUGUAAUCGUGUGCCUGGCUGCGUGGACCUGCUCCUUCCCCAGAGUCCCGUCUACACGGACCCCCCACCACUUUAGAGUCGUUUCCCGGAGCCUCAGAAACGCGGCCUCCCAGGCCCUAGUCCUUGCUUUGCCCCAAAUUAAACGCUCCAAACCUUU